GGACUACUCGGGUUUCUAAUCCCGUUCGCUCCCCCAGCUUUCGCGCCUCAGCGUCAAGAAUGCUCCAAGAGACCGCCUUCGCCACUGGUGUUCCUACCGAUAUCUACGCAUUUCACCGCUACACCGGUAAUUCCAUCUCUCCCUAGCACCUUCAAGACUGGCAGUAUCCACCGACCCUCCGGGGUUAAGCCCCGGGCUUUCACAGCGGACUUGCCAACCCGCCUACGCGCGCUUUACGCCCAGUAACUUCGGACAACGCUCGCCCCCUCCGUAUUACCGCGGCUGCUGGCAC
rnacentral:rRNA from 1 species